rnacentral:rRNA from 1 species
CACGUAGGGCGCGAGCGUUGUCCGGAAUUAUUGGGCGUAAAGAGCUCGUAGGCGGCCUGUUGCGUCCGCUGUGAAAGCCCGGGGCUUAACCCCGGGUCGGCAGUGGAUACGGGCAGGCUAGAGGUAGGUAGGGGAGAAUGGAAUUCCCGGUGUAGCGGUGAAAUGCGCAGAGUAUCGGGAGGAACACCGGUGGCGAAGGCGGUUCUCUGGGCCUUACCUGACGCUGAGGAGCGAAAGCGUGGGGAGCGAACAGG